rnacentral:rRNA from 1 species
CAAGUCGAGCGAACAGACGAGGAGCUUGCUCCUUUGACGUUAGCGGCGGACGGGUGAGUAACACGUAGGUAACCUACCUAUAAGACUGGGAUAACUUCGGGAAACCGGAGCUAAUACCGGAUAAUAUUUCGAACCGCAUGGUUCGAUAGUGAAAGAUGGCUUUGCUAUCACUUAUAGAUGGACCUGCGCCGUAUUAGCUAGUUGGUAAGGUAACGGCUUACCAAGGCAACGAUACGUAGCCGACCUGAGAGGGUGAUCGGCCACACUGGAACUGAGACACGGUCCAGACUCCUACGGGAGGCAGCAGUAGGGAAUCUUCCGCAAUGGGCGAAAGCCUGACGGAGCAACGCCGCGUGAGUGAUGAAGGUCUUCGGAUCGUAAAACUCUGUUAUUAGGGAAGAACAAACGUGUAAGUAACUGUGCACGUCUGACG